CCUACGGGGGGCUGCAGUGGGGAAUAUUGCACAAUGGGGGAAACCCUGAUGCAGCGACGCCGCGUGAGUGAAGAAGGAUUUCGGUAUGUAAAGCUCUUUCAGCAGGGCAGAAGCAAGACGGUACCUGACUAAGAAGCCCCUGCUAACUACGUGCCAGCAGCCGCGGUAAUACGUAGGGGCCAAGCGUUAUCCGGAUUUACGGGGUGUAAAGGGAGCGUAGACGGUAUGGCAAGUCUGAAGUGAAAGCCCAGGGCUCAACCCUGGGAUUGCUUUGGAAACUGUUAGACUAGAGUGCUGGAGAGGUAAGUGGAAUUCGUAGUGUAGCGGUGAAAUGCGUAGAUAUUAGGAGGAACACCAGUGGCGAAGGCGGAUUGCUAGACUGUAACUGACACUGAGGCACGAAAGCGUGGGGAGCAAACAGGAUUAGAUACCCCAGUAGUC
rnacentral:rRNA from 1 species